rnacentral:rRNA from 1 species
UACGUAGGGGGCAAGCGUUAUCCGGAUUUACUGGGUGUAAAGGGAGCGCAGGCGGCGUGGCAAGUCAGAUGUGAAAACCCGGGGCCCAACCCCGGGAGUGCAUUUGAAACUGCCAUGCUGGAGUGCCGGAGAGGUAAGCGGAAUUCCUAGUGUAGCGGUGGAAUGCGCAGAUAUUGGGAAGAACACCGGCGGCGAAGGCGGCCUUCUGGGCCACGACUGACGCUGAGGCGCGAAAGCUAGGGGAGCGAACAGG